GUGUGUGUGUAUGUGUGUGUGUGAGUGUGUGUGUGUGCGUGUACCUUCAGGCUGCCCUUGCCCAUGUUCUGCAGGACCCAGAUGCGGUGGGACCAGGCGUUGUAGUUGCUGGCGUAGCGUCCGGCGGCCUCAGUGCAGACCCUCAUCUCCUCCUGCAGCACCCUGUGCAGACGCUCUGCCCGCGGGGUGCCCUCUGCGUCCGCCCCGCUCCCGGCCUCGCUCUGCCCCUUUCUGCCCCCGCCCGCGGGGAGGCACUCACGCAGGACCUGCUGCAGCACCCAGCGCCUGGAGAGACAGCGCCCCCGCCCUGUUACAGCGCCCACUGCUGGAGAGGACAGGCACGGCACCGCCCUUCAACACAGCCAUUCACACGAUUCAGCCCCACGAUGGUCAGAAUUUCACCAUGUCCACUACGGCAUGUACGUGUGGAACUGCCUGCCAGGCGGUGUAGUAUAGGCAGAGAUCCCCAAGGGAACUCGACUCCACGCUGGGUGUUCUUUAGGCUGGAGGUAAAUGAUGAGCCCAAAUCGGCCAAACGUUAUCCGGACACAGAACACUUCCCUUUUUAUCUGUACCUGACGUUCCAAGCGGUGGUGAAGUCGGGAUUCAACAGCAGCAAGGUGCAGGUGAUAUCGACCAGAGCUGAGAGAGAGAAGGAGAGAGGCAUUAAUACAGAACAGAAAAAGUAAGGAGGGCCCUGAUGAUGAUGAUGAUGAGAAGAAGGCCGGCACUGGGGCAGCUGACGAAGAGCGCAGUCCUACAUCCCCGAGGCCUCGGAGGAGCAGAGGAAUGAAACCAGGGUAGGCUCACCCAAGUCUCCAGGACACCAUUACAGAAAUAUAACUACAGAUGGAGCGCAGCUCUGCCUCUCCGUUCUGCUCUGCGUUCAGUGAUCUCAUCCCUCGUUCAGUUCUUCAGCCUCAGCCUGAAACCUUCUCAGAUUAAAUGUAUAAAAACACAGAACUGCCGUUUCAAACACCAAUAAUCUAAUGUGAAAAGCACUGAAGGGCGGGAAAAUUAUACUUUAUUUAUACUGUGUUACUCGCCAGUCCCUGGGAACGGCCUUUUUAUUAUGAAACUAAUACCAGAAGCAGAUUUAGUACAACUUCAGUGUUGGCAG